UGAGGAAUAUUGGUCAAUGGAUGAGAAUCUGAACCAGCCAAGUAGCGUGCAGGAUGACGGCCCUAUGGGUUGUAAACUGCUUUUGUACGGGGAUAAAGGAGCCCACGUGUGGGUUUUUGCAGGUACCGUACGAAUAAGGACCGGCUAAUUCCGUGCCAGCAGCCGCGGUAAUACGGAAGGUCCGGGCGUUAUCCGGAUUUAUUGGGUUUAAAGGGAGCGCAGGCCGUCGGUUAAGCGUGUUGUGAAAUGUAGGCGCCCAACGCCUGCACUGCAGCGCGAACUGGCUGACUUGAGUACGCACGACGUUGGCGGAAUUUGCCGUGUAGCGGUGAAAUGCUUAGAUAUGGCGAAGAACUCCGAUUGCGAAGGCAGCUGACGGGAGCGCAACUGACGCUCAUGCUCGAAAGUGCGGGUAUCGAACAGG
rnacentral:rRNA from 2 species